GCCCGGCUAGCUCAAUCGGUAGAGCGUGAGACUCUUACUUGCACGGCUCUUCUGUUCAAGAAAUGAGUAUAUCUCAAGGUUGUGGGUUCGACCCCCACGUCGGGCU